CAGAAAAGCAGGCAUCAUCGUAGAAAGUUAUGCUAAGAAGUGUGACGAUUCCUGUCCAUUUAAAUAUAACUCUACUGAAGCGUACAAAUAUCAAGUAUGUUAUGAAAUGGCCAUCGCACAUCAAAUUACUUACAAGUCAACGGACCAUACGGACUCUUCUGAUUUCAUCGGUUAUACCUAUACCAUGAAAACAAUAAGACCAACAAUGAUGACGGAAGACACUUGUUCAGAGUCCAUAUUUCACAUCGUAAUAACAAUACUUGCUCUGCUUCUUAUAAUAUCCUUGGUUCCUAAUGUAUGGUUCUUGAUCAAGUAUAAACGAAAAAUAUAUAGAGAAAAAAAGCUUAAAGAUGGAUCCUUUUCAAAUAAUAUACUCCCACCACUAAGAGAAGUAAACGACAAGGGUGAAAGAACAGAGGACUCAAAAAAAUUAACAAAAG